rnacentral:lncRNA from 1 species
AUGGGAAAAUCCCAAUUCCAAAUAAGAAAUGCUGUUGUGGGUCUGAGCUGUGACUGUGUCUGCCCUCACAUUUCUGUUUCCGUGGGUGAAGGGAGAGCAUUUCCUCAUUGCAUGCAAGAGUAUCGCCCAUGGACUGGAGCAAAACCAUCCAAGCCUAUAAAGACAAAGCAAGGCUUCAUUAUCCCAGAAGACCAUUUUGUUCAAGAGACAAGCUACAAGGCAGAUUUUAAGAUCCCAGAGGUGAAGACCAGGUUCUCCCCCAACCCUUCUGCUGUUUUCCAGGCGCCGUCGCGGAUCCUCAACGUGUGAACCUGGACCCUCCUCACACCCAGGCAGCUUAAACGCAGUGUUUCUGUUAAGAAGUAUCACUAUGCAAUUUUUAUGAGGAGUGUUAAGAUCAAAGAACUGGUAUUAUCAAAAACAGCUCCAGUGAUUAAUGAUAUGCACACACACUUUCUGUUAACACAACAAACCGCAAAGCGCUUGGUUCAGAACUGGCAAAACACGCUGCGAGGAGUGACCUAGUUUUUCACGGGAGCAGGUUCAUUACUAUGCCAGCUGGCGUCACAUUAGGAGAUUGACUUUGGGCAGCAAAGGCAGUACUACGGGCAACAUCCCUACGCUUAACUACAUGGGGUGGGAGGGAAAACAAUCACAAGUGGGAUGGAUAAUUAAAACCAAAAAGAGUCUGAUUUAGCAGCACCCUCUAAGUAGUCCAGUGAAAGACAGGGAGUGUCUGGCUGACUUCUGAGCUUCUUGAAGGAUUUUGGAAAUAGGACCUCAAGUGACAUCACCAGAAACUAUAGCAUCAAAGAGGCUGGUCUGAACUUCCAGAACUUCUGAACUGCUCCAAACUGACACAGGAGCAAGAGGGGCCUCAACUUUGGGAGACAGCCCUGAGAGCAAUGCACCAGCCUGGCUGGGAGUGGAUUGCAUGGACAGAGUCAGCCAGGCACCUGCCAGACUCCAGAGGGUCUAAGAUGUUUAUGUAAUUUGUAUAGCUGUUAGGGUGAGUGUAAAUAUUGUAUAUGGAUUUUACCUAAAGCAAUUUGUGAUCCUUUAAUGAAAAGGACAUGCUUAUACUUUUAAUAAAUGUUACCUCUUUGCAUAUGCA